AUCUUAUCUGGUUUGCAUCAGUGGUGGGAACAACAAACAAGGUUUCCCCAUGAAGCAGGGUGUCUUGACCCACGGCCGAGUCCACCUGGUGCUGAGUAAGGGGCACGCCUGUUACAGACAGAGGAGGACUGGAGAGAGAAAAUGCAAAUAUGUUCGGGGUGGCACAUUGUGGAUGCCAAUCUCAGUGUUCUCAAUUUGGUCAUUGUAGAAAACGAGGGAGGAAGCUAUUCCUGGUCUCACUAACACCACUGUGCCUCAUCGCCUGGGGCCCAAAAGAGCCAGCAGAAUCCUCGGACUUUUCUGUCUCUAAAGGAGAUGAUGUCCACAAAUACA